CCUACGGGGGGCAGCAGUGAGGAAUAUUGGUCAAUGGACGAGAGUCUGAACCAGCCAAGUAGCGUGAAGGAUGACUGCCCUAUGGGUUGUAAACUUCUUUUAUAAAGGAAUAAAACGAGGCACGUGUGCCUUUUUGCAUGUACUUUAUGAAUAAGGAUCGGCUAACUCCGUGCCAGCAGCCGCGGUAAUACGGAGGAUCCGAGCGUUAUCCGGAUUUAUUGGGUUUAAAGGGAGCGUAGAUGGGUUGUUAAGUCAGUUGUGAAAGUUUGCGGCUCAACCGUAAAAUUGCAAUUGAUACUGGGAGUCAUGAGUGCAGUUGAGGUAGGCGGAAUUCGUGGUGUAGCGGUGAAAUGCUUAGAUAUCACGAAGAACCCCGAUUGCGAAGGCAGCUUACUAAACUGUGACUGACAUUGAUGCUCGAAAGUGUGGGGAGCAAACAGGAUUAGAUACCCGGGUAGUC
rnacentral:rRNA from 1 species